rnacentral:rRNA from 1 species
UGUGGUGAUGAUGGCUUGAAGGAUACACCUGUACCCAUGCCGAACACAGAAGUUAAGCUUCAACACGCCGAAAGUAGUU